UUACAUUAUGUUUGUGGGGUCGCUGAAUACAAAUCUGAGGUUUGUUUGAUGCUAUCACGUCAUGGAUUUUUAUAACCUCAAAUAAUGUGCUUAAGAACCAAGUUAUUCAUUAGGAAGUAAGACAGGAAAAUUUGUAAUCUAAAUCUACUGUGCGCAGAGUCUUAACCUGUAAAAAAGCCUAACCAUACUUGGACUAGCCUGACUUAACCAAAGAAAAAUGAGAACAAACAGACCAUGUUUACUUUAUGUUUGUGGGGUCGCUGUAUUCGAAUCUGAGUUUUGUUUGACGCCGUCAUAUCAAGGUUCUUCAUAACCUCGAAAAAUGUGCUAAAGAACCAAGUAAUUACUGAACUAUUUCAACAGGGCAAUUUCUAUACUAAUACCAUUGCCGUCACCUAGUAUAGUAUUAGCACUUAAAUAUUGUGCGGUCAUAUAACUAUAUUAUGCCAAAAGUACUCUCAACGUCAGGCCAUUAAAAUGAUGUUAGGCUUUUUACAGGUUAAAGCACUGCACACAGUAGAUUUAGAUUACAAAUUUUCCUGUCUUACUUUCUAAUGAAUAACUUGGUUCUCAAACUUAUUUUCAAAGGUUCUGAAAAACCAUGACGUGAGGUCGUCAAACAAACCUCGGAUUCGGAUUCAGUGACCCCACAAACAUAAUGAAAGAUAAACAUUCAUGGUUUUGUGGAUAUCGAAAAACAUUUGAUAAUAUGAAUUGGACGUUAAUGUUUAAAAUGAUGACAAGAAUGGGAAUAAAGCACGCAGAUAAGAAACUGCUGUAUAAAUGAUAUAAAAAUGAG